GGAAGUUACUGUCUUAUUAUUCAUAACGCGAUGUAAGUGUCUAAAACAGAAAUACAACCUGAAUUGUUUCGACUAUGCAUUUUGUGUCCAAAAAUUUAGACUUGGUGGCCACAGCGGUGGGUGCCCACUGUCCAAGGUUGAAAAGCUUGCCACUGGCAAACCAUCUUUUACAGUCUCCAGAGAUGAACAGCGGUUGCUUAUUCCUGCUCUCAGUGCAGUUCCCUCAAAGGAUGCACUUACAAGAUCAGCUUCUGAGCCUCCCAGAGCCAUCAGAUGUUUACAAAGGUCCCAUCACAACACCCCUGGCUUCCUAUAAUAAUUAUCAAUAAAAUACAUCAGCAAAGGCUUGCAGACAGAGGCAGACAAGUAAAGCUGAGGCAAUGACGUCCGUCAGAUUGCGACCAGAGGACCUGUGCUAACCAUCAGAAAGCCACACCUUCCUGACUCAGUAUUUCCUUGGGCUGCCACUGACUUUCUCUGCUUACCACAGCAGGAAGUUGCACCAAAUGACACCUACCCAAAAUAUUGAGCAUUUGGCUUAAAAAGAGCAAGUCAUGGAAAAACAAUGACUAACAGUAAGUCACCAUGGAAUCCAGUCCCCAGGGGAGUACCUGCAGACAGCCUAGCAAAUUGGUACGGAUGUACAUUAGCUUACCAGACCUGCAUGGAGGGCUAAUUUAAUGGAGCAUUGCUGCAACACAAAUAGAAGCAGAAAUAUUGCCUAAUCCUCCAGUGACCAGUUUCAGUGAACUGUUUCAGAACAUGCUGGAUCAAAACUACUCCAGCUAAGCUGGCAUGCUUAGAUCAGGUGAAAGAACAUGAUGUGAAAAAUCUGUGCCAACCUCUGAGAAUAGCUUGCUUCAGAGAGUCAGAUUUAAAAGCUGGUCAGCAUAGUGCCUGAAGCCUUUCAUCCUGGCUGUAUUAACACAUGGAAAGAGGACAUUAAAAGUGCAAAUUAUAUGGGGC
rnacentral:lncRNA from 14 species